rnacentral:rRNA from 1 species
AUUGAACGCUGGCGGCAUGCCUUACACAUGCAAGUCGAACGGCAGCACGGAGCUUGCUCUGGUGGCGAGUGGCGAACGGGUGAGUAAUAUAUCGGAACGUACCCUAGAGUGGGGGAUAACGUAGCGAAAGUUACGCUAAUACCGCAUACGAUCUAAGGAUGAAAGUGGGGGAUCGCAAGACCUCAUGCUCGUGGAGCGGCCGAUAUCUGAUUAGCUAGUUGGUAGGGUAAAAGCCUACCAAGGCAUCGAUCAGUAGCUGGUCUGAGAGGACGACCAGCCACACUGGAACUGAGACACGGUCCAGACUCCUACGGGAGGCAGCAGUGGGGAAUUUUGGACAAUGGGCGAAAGCCUGAUCCAGCAAUGCCGCGUGAGUGAAGAAGGCCUUCGGGUUGUAAAGCUCUUUUGUCAGGGAAGAAACGGUGAAAGCUAAUAUCUUUUGCUAAUGACGGUACCUGAAGAAUAAGCACCGGCUAACUACGUGCCAGCAGCCGCGGUAAUACGUAGGGUGCAAGCGUUAAUCGGAAUUACUGGGCGUAAAGCGUGCGCAGGCGGUUUUGUAAGUCUGAUGUGAAAUCCCCGGGCUCAACCUGGGAAUUGCAUUGGAGACUGCAAGGCUAGAAUCUGGCAGAGGGGGGUAGAAUUCCACGUGUAGCAGUGAAAUGCGUAGAUAUGUGGAGGAACACCGAUGGCGAAGCAGCCCCCUGGGUCAAGAUUGACGCUCAUGCACGAAAGCGUGGGGAGCAAACAGGACUAGAUACCCUGGUAGUCCACGCCCUAAACGAUGUCUACUAGUUGUCGGGUCUUAAUUGACUUGGUAACGCAGCUAACGCGUGAAGUAGACCGCCUGGGGAGUACGGUCGCAAGAUUAAAACUCAAAGGAAUUGACGGGGACCCGCACAAGCGGUGGAUGAUGUGGAUUAAUUCGAUGCAACGCGAAAAACCUUACCUACCCUUGACAUGGCUGGAAUCCUGAAGAGAUUUGGGAGUGCUCGAAAGAGAACCAGUACACAGGUGCUGCAUGGCUGUCGUCAGCUCGUGUCGUGAGAUGUUGGGUUAAGUCCCGCAACGAGCGCAACCCUUGUCAUUAGUUGCUACGAAAGGGCACUCUAAUGAGACUGCCGGUGACAAACCGGAGGAAGGUGGGGAUGACGUCAAGUCCUCAUGGCCCUUAUGGGUAGGGCUUCACACGUCAUACAAUGGUACAUACAGAGCGCCGCCAACCCGCAAGGGGGAGCUAAUCGCAGAAAGUGUAUCGUAGUCCGGAUUGUAGUCUGCAACUCGACUGCAUGAAGUUGGAAUCGCUAGUAAUCGCGGAUCAGCAUGUCGCGGUGAAUACGUUCCCGGGUCU